rnacentral:rRNA from 1 species
GAAUAUUGGACAAUGGGGGGAACCCUGAUCCAGCCAUGCCGCGUGUGUGAAGAAGGCCUUUUGGUUGUAAAUCACUUUAAGCGCGGAGGAGGAGCUCUUGGUUAAUCACCAAGAUGCUUGGCAGUUAACCGCAGAAUAAGCACCGUCCAACCCUGCUCCAGCAACCGCGGUAAUACAGAGGGUGCAAGCGUUAAUCGGAUUUACUGGGCGUAAAGCGCGCGUAGGUGGCCAAUUAAGUCAAAUGUGAAAUCCCCGAGCUUAACUUGGGAAUUGCAUUCGAUACUGGUUGGCUAGAGUAUGGGAGAGGAUGGUAGAAUUCCAGGUGUAGCGGUGAAAUGCGUAGAGAUCUGGAGGAAUACCGAUGGCGAAGGCAGCCAUCUGGCCUAAUACUGACACUGAGGUGCGAAAGCAUGGGGAGCAAACA